CCUUACCUACCCUUGACAUGGUCUGGAAUCCCGAAGAGAUUUGGGAGUGCUCGCAAGAGAACCGGAACACAGGUGCUGCAUGGCUGUCGUCAGCUCGUGUCGUGAGAUGUUGGGUUAAGUCCCGCAACGAGCGCAACCCUUGUCAUUAGUUGCUACGAAAGGGCACUCUAAUGAGACUGCCGGUGACAAACCGGAGGAAGGUGGGGAUGACGUCAAGUCCUCAUGGCCCUUAUGGGUAGGGCUUCACACGUCAUACAAUGGUCGGGACAGAGGGUCGCCAACCCGCGAGGGGGAGCCAAUCUCAGAAACCCGAUCGUAGUCCGGAUUGUAGGCUGCAAUUCGCCUGCAUGAAGUCGGAAUCGCUAGUAAUCGCGGAUCAGAAUGUCGCGGUGAAUACGUUCCCGGGUCUUGUACACACCGCCCGUCACACCAUGGGAGUGGGUUUCACCAGAAGUAGGUAGCCUAACCGUAAGGAGGGCGCUUACCACGGUGGGAUUCAUGACUGGGGUGAAGUCGUAACAAGGUAAGCGUAGAUGA
rnacentral:rRNA from 1 species